rnacentral:lncRNA from 1 species
AGGGUUUGGAACUACAACUGUGGUGUCAAACAGGUAAUGUGAACCUUUUAAUCUUGAAUCAUCUUAAUGUUUAGUAUAAUCAUAUUUUUAAUUUCAAAUUAUGUGUAAAAGGAAAACGCCAUUAUUUACUGACCUGAGUAUAAUUUCAUCAAUGCAGGUCUCUGGAAUAUGAGGGAGACAAUCAUGAUGGUAGGAAAUAAAAGGAGGCUCAUUUCACAUGUACUACUAGUGAGACAUCCCUCUGAACUAUCAGAUUAUAGUAAUUCUUCUCAUAAUGACUGUGUACAGAGAUGACGUCAGAGAAGAUGGAGGCUCUGUAUGCUGCAGAAGAGGAAGAAAUCUGGAACUUUCCAGACUUGUGAGUUUGCCUCCUUUCUCAAUAAUGCAUUUAGAAUAAUGUAUGUGUGGGCUAAGUCUGAGUUAUUAACUAUUGUGAAUUGUGUGUAUGUAGCAAUCUGCAGGCAAAAGGGUACAUACUGAAUCUGCUGCAUGCUAGGAAGCGGCUAAAGAAGAUGAAUGCCAAUCUCCAGCAGACUCUUUGUGCAAGUGAGGACUCCAACGCUGACUUAGAAAUUGAGAAUGCAUCCCUGAAAAAACAGACCAAAAGCAUGAAAAAGUUCAUGGAAAGUACUGCCAGAGUGUUGGAGGAAAUGAAUGAGAUGCAGGGGACACUAGCUGAGAACAAGAUGGCCAACAACAACCUCAAAAGCCAGAACAAUAAGCUUCAAAGGGAACUCAAGGCCCUGAAUAACCAAACUAUAACCAUGACCAAUGAGAUGUAUGACAUUUUGCACAAGAGGGAAAUGGACAAGAAAAAAAUCACGAAUCUAAAUCAACUCAUCAAGGCUCUGCAGGUAUUUCUAAAUAAGAUGCUGACUUAUGGGAAGUGUAGUCAAGCAAUCAAGUGACUACAUUUGUCUGUUGCUGAUACAUUUAUAUAUCAUAUUGAGGGAUAAAGUUUUUGGUCUUUUCGCUCACCUCUUGUGGAUUUUUUUUUUCUUCUCAAGCAACAAGUGGAAUUGGCGAUGAUGCAGCUUGACAACAAGGAUGAGACUAUUUACAAGGUGGGUUUUAGGUCUAAAUAUGAAAAAUUUAAAUGUAAAAAAUUACAAUACAAUAA